CCUGUACAGUAGAUACACAUGUGGAGACCACUGACAGGAACUGAGGAUAACCCAGAGGUUUGUGGAACAGGUAGUGUCUUCUCACCACUGUUGUUCCCAACAGGCCUCAUCACUGGCCUGCCUGCAGUCCAGAAUGAAAACACGACCAGGAGGAAAGUCGGACAAUAGGAACCAAACUGUUGAACUGACCUAGUAUUUCAUCUGUGAAAUGACGAGGAAAAAAACAAGUGUCUUUUUCAAUUCUUUAAAACGUAUUUAGUU